rnacentral:rRNA from 1 species
AAAACAGCCCUACGGGAGGCAGCAGUGGGGAAUUUUGGACAAUGGGCGCAAGCCUGAUCCAGCAAUGCCGCGUGCAGGAAGAAGGCCUUCGGGUUGUAAACUGCUUUUGUACGGAACGAAACGGUCCUGGUUAAUACCUGGGGCUAAUGACGGUACCGUAAGAAUAAGCACCGGCUAACUACGUGCCAGCAGCCGCGGUAAUACGUAGGGUGCAAGCGUUAAUCGGAAUUACUGGGCGUAAAGCGUGCGCAGGCGGUUUUGUAAGACAGGCGUGAAAUCCCCGGGCUCAACCUGGGAAUUGCGCUUGUGACUGCAAGGCUGGAGUGCGGCAGAGGGGGAU